rnacentral:rRNA from 1 species
GCACAAGCGGUGGAGCAUGUGGUUUAAUUCGAUGCAACGCGAAGAACCUUACCUGGGCUUGACAUCCCGGGAAUCCCUUGGAAACAGGGGAGUGCCCUUCGGGGAACCUGGAGACAGGUGGUGCAUGGUUGUCGUCAGCUCGUGUCGUGAGAUGUUGGGUUAAGUCCCGCAACGAGCGCAACCCCUAUUGUUAGUUGCCAUCAUUCAGUUGGGCACUCUAGCGAGACUGCCGGUAAUAAACCGGAGGAAGGUGGGGAUGACGUCAAAUCAUCAUGCCCCUUAUGACCUGGGCUACACACGUGCUACAACGGUUGGUACAACGAGUUGCGAGUCGGUGACGGCGAGCUAAUCUCUUAAAGCCAAUCUCAGUUCGGAUUGUAGGCUGCAACUCGCCUACAUGAAGUCGGAAUCGCUAGUAAUCGCGGAUCAGCACGCCGCGGUGAAUACGUUCCCGGGCCUU